rnacentral:rRNA from 1 species
GACGAACGCUGGCGGCGUGCUUAACACAUGCAAGUCGAACGGAAAGGCCCUGCUUUUGUGGGGUGCUCGAGUGGCGAACGGGUGAGUAACACGUGGGUAACCUGCCCUUGACUUUGGGAUAACUUCAGGAAACUGGGGCUAAUACCGGAUAGGAGCUCCUGCUGCAUGGUGGGGGUUGGAAAGUUUCGGCGGUUGGGGAUGGACUCGCGGCUUAUCAGCUUGUUGGUGGGGUAGUGGCUUACCAAGGCUUUGACGGGUAGCCGGCCUGAGAGGGUGACCGGCCACACUGGGACUGAGAUGCGGCCCAGACUCCUACGGGAGGCAGCAGUGGGGAAUAGUGUACUAUGGGCGGAAGGCUGAUGUAGCAACGCCGCGUGGGGUAUGACGGCCAUCGGUUUGUAUUCCGCUUUCGCUUGUCACGAAGCGUGAGUGACGGUAAUGGGUAAAUAAGCACCGGCUAACUACGUG